CACGUAGGGCGCAAGCGUUGUCCGGAAUUAUUGGGCGUAAAGAGCUCGUAGGCGGUCUGUUGCGUCUGCUGUGAAAACCCGGGGCUUAACCCCUGGCUUGCAGUGGAUACGGACAGACUAGAGGUAGGUAGGGGAGAAUGGAAUUCCCGGUGUAGCGGUGAAAUGCGCAGAUAUCGGGAGGAACACCGGUGGCGAAGGCGGUUCUCUGGGCCUUACCUGACGCUGAGGAGCGAAAGCGUGGGGUGCGAACAGG
rnacentral:rRNA from 1 species